UUUUAUGGAGAGUUUGAUCCUGGCUCAGGAUGAACGCUGGCGGCGUGCCUAAUACAUGCAAGUCGAGCGAACGGACGAGAAGCUUGCUUCUCUGAUGUUAGCGGCGGACGGGUGAGUAACACGUGGAUAACCUACCUAUAAGACUGGGAUAACUUCGGGAAACCGGAGCUAAUACCGGAUAAUAUUUUGAACCGCAUGGUUCAAAAGUAAAAGACGGUCUUGCUGUCACUUAUAGAUGGAUCCGCGCUGCAUUAGCUAGUUGGUAAGGUAACGGCUUACCAAGGCAACGAUGCAUAGCCGACCUGAGAGGGUGAUCGGCCACACUGGAACUGAGACACGGUCCAGACUCCUACGGGAGGCAGCAGUAGGGAAUCUUCCGCAAUGGGCGAAAGCCUGACGGAGCAACGCCGCGUGAGUGAUGAAGGUCUUCGGAUCGUAAAACUCUGUUAUUAGGGAAGAACAUAUGUGUAAGUAACUGUGCACAUCUUGACGGUACCUAAUCAGAAAGCCACGGCUAACUACGUGCCAGCAGCCGCGGUAAUACGUAGGUGGCAAGCGUUAUCCGGAAUUAUUGGGCGUAAAGCGCGCGUAGGCGGUUUUUUAAGUCUGAUGUGAAAGCCCACGGCUCAACCGUGGAGGGUCAUUGGAAACUGGAAAACUUGAGUGC
rnacentral:rRNA from 1 species